GUUCUGGAAGAAUAAGCUUGUGGCUGUUUACAGCAGUCAAGUAUCUAUAUACUCCCUUCAUCUGAAGAUACUUAUCAUUAAAAUGGAUAAAAAUGACGUUCUAAAACUAAAAUACGUCUAAAUACAUCUAGAACUAAAAUAUGUACUAUCAGCUGUUGGAUCUUCGUGCUCGGACUCCGUUACCUGACUGGCGGUGUGAGGCUUUGAGCCUCCGGCGGCUCCCCCGCCGUCCGCCGCCUCGAACGCCGCUUGCCUUCUCCCCGGCCGGCAUCGAACGCCUCCAGCAGUUCCCUCCCUCGCCGCCUCAACGCGCGGCCGACACCUCCCGAGCCCGUGCGCCGCGGUCACAACGCCACCACUGGGCCGCCGCGGGAGCCUCGCCUAGGGUUUCUCCUUCCUGAUGCGCGGCCGCGGCUAGCUGGAUUCGCUCUCCCCCAAGGCCUCCUCCGCCUCGGGCCUCGGAGAGUCAAACCCCAGCAGCCAUUUCCUUGGCAGGCAAGCCCUCGCUUCGGCGGCGUGGAAGACGAGUGAGCCCUGUAUGCCGUGUUCUUCUGAACACCUCUUUGCAGCCUGAUGGAGGAAACUCCGUGAAGCGGCGGAGGAGCGGAGCCGCCUAAGUGCAGCUGCCCCGAAUCGAGGUCUACUUUGACACCCUUGCCUCUUCUAGGUUGUUUUGCAGCUAUACAGAGUUCAGUUCAACAUGGUCUCAACCAAACAUUCAGCAUCUGUUUGCUCUUCCCGUCUUGCAUCAAGCUACGUGGAGGGGGCUGUUGUUGCACAUCACAUGUUUGUUCUAAUGCCCUGCCCAUGUUCUUGGUCAAAACCAACAUUAGCCCCUUGUGUCAUUCCCGCGACCAGUUUGUUUCUUUCCAUCGGUCAAGAGAUCAAUGGGAGAUUCACUCCCUCUGCUGUUGUUGUUGCUGCACAUCACGUGUUUGUUUUAGUACCCUGCCCUUGUUCUUGGUAAAAAUUAAGGAUAUCUAGUUGCUUAACAAAGUCUA